GCAGCCGCCGCGGUAAUACGUAGGUGGCAAGCGUUGUCCGGAAUUAUUGGGCGUAAAGGGCUCGCAGGCGGUUUCUUAAGUCUGAUGUGAAAGCCCCCGGCUCAACCGGGGAGGGUCAUUGGAAACUGGGAAACUUGAGUGCAGAAGAGGAGAGUGGAAUUCCACGUGUAGCGGUGAAAUGCGUAGAGAUGUGGAGGAACACCAGUGGCGAAGGCGACUCUCUGGUCUGUAACUGACGCUGAGGAGCGAAAGCGUGGGGAGCGAACGGGAUUAGAUACCCCUGUAGUCCCUGUCUCUUAUAC
rnacentral:rRNA from 1 species